UUAGUGGGGCAUUGUGCUAGGCACCUGUAAUCCCAGUUACUUGGGAAGCUGAGGUGCAAGAAUCACUUGAACCUGGAAGGGGGAGGUUGCAGUGAGCCAAGAUCGUGCCACUGCACUCUAGCCUGGGUGACAGAGCAAGACUCAGUCUCGAAAAAAAAUAAAAUAAAUAAAAUAAAUACAUAAAUACAUAAAAUAAAGAGGUAUGAAUUUGAUUAAACAGUUUAUCUUGAAUAACCUAGACAUGAGUCCACAGAUGGCUUCUAUGGUUUCAUAGGUGUCUCUCAUAGCUUCGGUGAGUUUGUCUUCUGACUUUCAGUCAUGUGCUUCUAAACUCAACAUGAAACUCCCUCUUCCCAGCUGCGCUUCUGACUGCCCUAACUUUUCAGACAAAUCAAAGACCCAACCAGUGCUAUAGUCUGCAUUGGUAAGCCUGCUCGAGGAACUCCGUGUAUUCGCCCAGGAUUUAGUCCACGAACGCUCAAGCAAUUUGCAAUCCAAAGAAGAUUUGAAAUAUGAGACUUCUGAGGCAUCAUAUGCUCACCAGUUUAUGAUAAAGGAUGUUUCAGAGGAUACAGAUGAAAGUGAAGAAUGGGGGGAGGGGGCAGAGCUCCCACGCCCUCCCUGGGGCAGUGCCCUCCAGGAACCUCCAGUGUUCAGCUGUACUGAAGCUCGAAAAAUGUGCUGUAUCUUGCUCUUGGUGGAGGUCACGUGAGUAUACACGAAGGUAAAUUACGUCUCAAUAAAGUGCUGGGGAGAAAGCAAUGAAGCACUGACAUACGCUACACCAAGGAUGAACCUCGAAAACAUCAUGCUGAGUGAAAGAAGCCAGACACAAAAGGCCGCACAGUGUAUGAUUCUAUUUACAUGUAAUGUCCAGAAUAGGUAAAUCCAUAGAGACAGAGUAGAUUCGUCCCCAGUCUAGCCUCAUUCUAGGGCUGGGAAAAAUGGGAAGUGACUACCUCUGUGUAUGGGGUUUCUUUUGCGGGGGGAUCACAAUGUACUAAAAUUAGAUUGUGGUGAUGGUUGCACAACUCUGAAUAUACUAAAAACCACUGAACUGUAUAUUUUAAACAGGUUGAUUUUAUAUGUACAUAAUGCUCAAUUCUGUUGAGUAGAAUUAGCCUUCCUAGAACAAUGCCAUCAGGAAGAAUUAAAAGUGAGUUUCAGCUGGGCACAGUGGCUCAUGCCUGUAAUCCCAGCACGUCGGGAGGCCGAGGCGGGUGGAUCAUGAGGUCAGGAGUUUGAGACCAGCUGGGCCAACAUGGUGAAACCCCGUCUCUACUAAAGACACAA
rnacentral:lncRNA from 10 species